GGGAAAAGUGGGAAUGUGUGGAAAAUCAGGGAAAACAGCCAAGGGAAAGGGCGGAUUAAACCCAGCUCUACUCAGGGCUAAAGUCUGGCUUAGCCCAGAAAAUUCCGGUUUUACUUGAAUUAAAUCUCAGAGAAUUCCAGCUUUUUAUUCCCGUCAUCUUCUCUUUCAAAGGUCGGGAAAAAUCCUGGAAUUUUCUUCCCAGGCUCUGCCGUCUCCUUCCUGCUCUUCUGUAAAACCUUCCAUAAAAUCCCAUAAAAUGCUGGAAUUCCUGAGGGUGCUGGAAUUCCCUCUCGUCACAGGUGUCCGUCACUGCCUCUGGAAUUCGCCUCUGGAAUUUGCCUCUGGAAUUCGCCUCUGGAAUUUGCCUCUGGAAUCUCCCAGCAAAGGCUGUGCCAGGCAGAGGUGCAGUUUCCAUGGGAUUCCCAUCCCGCUUUUCCAGGUAGGAUUGGGAUUUCAUUCCUGCCAGUGCCAGAGUGAAGGGAAACUCAGGGGAAAGGGAAAAUCAUGGAGAUUGACAAGGGAUGGGAUGAGGGAUGAGCAUCCCAUGUUUGUCAUUCCAACAUGGAUCACUCAUCCAUUCGGAGCUCCUGGCUCCAAGAUUUUGGGAUGGGAUCAUCAGGGAAAUCCCAGAAUCCCUGCAAAUCCAGGGGAUAUUGGACCUGAAUUCCCACUGUGGAUUCCAGAGAGCACUCAGGGAAUUCCAGAUUCCCUCUGGCACAGCUGGAUCCUGGUGGAAAAGCUGCCAGGACAAAAAAUCCCCGAAAUUCCCAUAAAUCCCGAAUUCCCAAUCCCAGUAAGGGCCGAACAGAAUCAACUUUCGUCCUCGGCUCCUCAGAUCCUUCGGGAUAAUAAAACCUCUGGAAAAUUGGAGCGGAUCCUGGCGGUCAGCUACAAACAGGGGUGGGGGUGGGAACGGGCUUGGGAGGUUUUUAGGGAAAAGCCGAAGGAAAACGAAGCGUUUAACGACGGAAAACGAAACCUCCGCCCUGGGACGCGCAAAUCCGGAGCCGAUUCCUCCGCUCCGGCUUUUGGGAAAGGGCCAUGGAUCAGCCAGAGCUCAGCAGCAGGGAUGGGUUAGAAAUCCCUAGAAAUCCCUAGAAAUCCCAAAGUUGUGACUUUUCCAUGUGGAAAACACGGAGAAGGAGCUGCUCUGUGCGAUCCAGGAGCUGACCCAAUGAGAAUCCCGGGAUUUCAUCCCCCAUGGAUUGCAUCCUAAUCUGACAAAGCGUUUCAUAUGUUUUUUUCCCUGUUUUUUUAAGCACGGGAUAAAAUCCCAGCCGGAACGGGGCAGGAGCUGCCGUCAGAGGUUUGUCCCAGGAAAUUGAUCCCUCGGGAUCACUUUUCCCAGCUCCUCGCUCGUUUGGAGCAGCCACAGCUCCAAGGAGAACGUGGAAUCAAGGAAAAGUCUCAUCCAGCUGAAGGGAGGAUGGGAAGAUCCCGAAUCACCUGGAUAUUAACAGGAUUUUCCUGGUGGAAAAAUGGGAGAUGAUUCCUUGUGGGAUGAGGAUUUGAGGAAUAACAUCCUCCCAGCACUGGGAAACUCCAUGGAAUAAUGGUUCCAUGGAACAAAAAUUCCAUGGAAUUGUGGAACCAUCCAGGGUGGGAAAGACCUCUGAGCUCGAAUCCAACCUUGCCAAGGUCACGAAUUCCCAAAUGCCAAAUCCCAUGGGAUCAUCCCGCUCCAGGAAUGGGAGGAGGGAACAAAGCGGGAAUGUCCCAGCAUUCCCAUCGGAUCCGGGAAGGCUGAGAAGGUCGUGGAUCAUGGAUUUGUUUGGAAAACAAAUCCCAUCCCGGGACAGGUUUUGCGCUCCAUUAACACCUGGUGGCGGUGAGCGUGGGUUGGGAUGUUUUCCAUAAAAAUCUUUGGGAAUAUAAGGGAAAAUGAGGGAUUUUAAAGGAAUAUCAGUGAGGCUCAGCCUGGGGAAAAGGAGGAUCCAGAGGGAGCUUCCAGCUCUCCAUAACUCCCUGAAAGUUUGGAGCCAGGUGGGAGUUGGGAUUUGAUCCCAGGGAAUAACAGGAAAAGAGGGAACAGCCUCAGGUUCUCCCAGGAGAGGCUCAGGCUGGACAGCAGCAGGAAU
rnacentral:lncRNA from 1 species